CCAAGUGGAAAUAGUCUGUGUGGCGCUCGUAAAUAGAGAGCAUUCUGGUAGAAAGCUGAAAGAUUAGUGAGACUGACUAAAUUCUGAACAUGUUCCAUGUGAGAGAAAUACAUGUUGAUUUCAUCUUGAAAUAAUCACAGCUGAGGGACGAGGUUCGUAACUGAGGGUCAUGUGCAGAGCUGGAGGAAGAAGUUGCGAGGCUUGGAACUCUCCUUGUGAAGGGCUCAGGGACAGCAGUGAGGACUAUGCCCUUUAGUUGUGAUUGUGAUACUCCUGAUGUGCAAGUAAACACUCCUGUGAUACUCCUUAUGCUACAAUGUUGAUUGUUAGUACAGAGGUGGUGACAUUAUUUGGUUCUUUGGUAUUGAUUUCAUGAUUUGUGGUUAAUACAUGACGUAAUACAAUCCACAUUGCAUUAUAUUUC